CUGGCUCAGGAUGAACGCUAGCGACAGGCUUAACACAUGCAAGUCGAGGGGCAGCAUAAAAGUAGCAAUACUUGGUGGCGACCGGCGCACGGGUGAGUAACGCGUAUGCAACCUACCUAUCAGAGGGGAAUAACCCGGCGAAAGUCGGACUAAUACCGCAUAAAACAGGGGCACCGCAUGGUGAUAUUUGUUAAAGAAAUUCGCUGAUAGAUGGGCAUGCGUUCCAUUAGGUAGUUGGUGAGGUAACGGCUCACCAAGCCGACGAUGGAUAGGGAACUGAGAGGUUGGUCCCCCACACUGGUACUGAGACACGGACCAGACUCCUACGGGAGGCAGCAGUGAGGAAUAUUGGUCAAUGGGCGAGAGCCUGAACCAGCCAAGUCGCGUGAAGGAAGAAGGAUCUAUGGUUCGUAAACUUCUUUUGCAGGGGAAUAAAGUGCAGGACGUGUCCUGUUUUGUAUGUACCCUGAGAAUAAGGAUCGGCUAACUCCGUGCCAGCCGCGGC
rnacentral:rRNA from 1 species